GUUGUAAGGUUAAGUGACUAAGCGUACACGGUGGAUGCCUAGGCAGUCAGAGGCGAUGAAGGGCGUGCUAAUCUGCGAAAAGCGCCGGUAAGGUGAUAUGAACCGUUAUAGCCGGCGAUACCCGAAUGGGGAAACCCAGUGUGAUACGUCACACUAUCGUUAAGUGAAUACAUAGCUUGACGAGGCGAACCGGGGGAACUGAAACAUCUAAGUACCCCGAGGAAAAGAAAUCAACCGAGAUCCCCCCAGUAGCGGCGAGCGAACGGGGGCCAGCCCAGAACCUGAAUCAGCGGGUGUGUUAGUGGAAGCGUCUGGAAAGUCGCGCAGUAAAGGGUGAUAGCCCCGUACACAAAAAUGCACUGGCUGUGAGUUCGAUGAGUAGGGCGGGACACGUGACAUCCUGUCUGAAUAUGGGGGGACCAUCCUCCAAGGCUAAAUACUCCUGACUGACCGAUAGUGAACCAGUACCGUGAGGGAAAGGCGAAAAGAACCCCGGCGAGGGGAGUGAAAAAGAACCUGAAACCGUGUACGUACAAGCAGUGGGAGCACCGUUGAGGUGUGACUGCGUACCUUUUGUAUAAUGGGUCAGCGACUUAUAUUUUGUAGCAAGGUUAACCGCAUAGGGGAGCCGUAGGGAAACCGAGUCUUAACUGGGCGAAGAGUUGCAAGGUAUAGACCCGAAACCCGGUGAUCUAGCCAUGGGCAGGUUGAAGGUUGGGUAACACCACCUGGAGGACCGAACCGACUAAUGUUGAAAAAUUAGCGGAUGACCUGUGGCUGGGGGUGAAAGGCCAAUCAAACCGGGAGAUAGCUGGUUCUCCCCGAAAGCUAUUUAGGUAGCGCCUCGUGAAUUCAUCUUCGGGGGUAGAGCACUGUUUCGGCUAGGGGGCCAUCCCGGCUUACCAACCCGAUGCAAACUGCGAAUACCGAAGCAUGUUAUCACGGGAGACACACGGCGGGUGCUAACGUCCGUCGUGAAGAGGGAAACAACCCAGACCGCCAGCUAAGGUCCCAAAGUCAUGGUUAAGUGGGAAACGAUGUGGGAAGGCCCAGACAGCCAGGAUGUUGGCUUAGAAGCAGCCAUCAUUGAAAGAAAGCGUAAUAGCUCACUGGUCGAGUCGGCCUGCGCGGAAGAUGUAACGGGGCUAAACCAUGCACCGAAGCUGCGGCAGCGGCGCUGAUGCGUUGUUGGGUAGGGGAGCGUUCUGUAAGCCGUUGAAGGUGUCCUGUGAGGGGUGCUGGAGGUAUCAGAAGUGCGAAUGCUGACAUAAGUAACGAUAAAGCGGGUGAAAAACCCGCUCGCCGGAAGACCAAGGGUUCCUGUCCAACGUUAAUCGGGGCAGGGUGAGUCGACCCCUAAGGCGAGGCUGAAAAGCGUAGUCGAUGGGCAACAGGUUAAUAUUCCUGUACUGGGUGUGACUGCGAAGGGGGGACGGAGAAGGCUAGGCAGGCCGGGCGACGGUUGUCCCGGUUUAAGCGUGUAGGGGGGCGUUUUGGGUAAAUCCGGAACGCCAUACAGAAACCCUGAGGCGUGAUGACGAUGCACCAAGGUGCAGAAGCUGUUGAUGCCCUGCUUCCAGGAAAAGCCUCUAAGCAUCAGGUCACCUUUAAUCGUACCCCAAACCGACACAGGUGGUCAGGUAGAGAAUACCGAGGCGCUUGAGAGAACUCGGGUGAAGGAACUAGGCAAAAUGGUGCCGUAACUUCGGGAGAAGGCACGCUGGCAUGUAGGUGAACUCCGUAUCGGAGGGAGCUGAAGCCAGUCGCAGAGACCAGCUGGCUGCAACUGUUUAAUAAAAACACAGCACUGUGCCAACACGAAAGUGGACGUAUACGGUGUGACGCCUGCCCGGUGCUGGAAGGUUAAUUGAUGGGGUUAGCCGCAAGGCGAAGCUCUUGAACGAAGCCCCAGUAAACGGCGGCCGUAACUAUAACGGUCCUAAGGUAGCGAAAUUCCUUGUCGGGUAAGUUCCGACCUGCACGAAUGGCGUAAUGAUGGCCAGGCUGUCUCCACCCGAGACUCAGUGAAAUUGAACUCGCUGUGAAGAUGCAGUGUACCCGCGGCAAGACGGAAAGACCCCGUGAACCUUUACUAUAGCUUGACACUGAACAUGGAGCCUUGAUGUGUAGGAUAGGUGGGAGGCAGUGAAUCGUGGACGCCAGUCUGCGAGGAGCCACCCUUGAAAUACCACCCUUUAAUGUUUGAUGUUCUAACUUUGCCCCGUGACCCGGGGUGAGGACAGUGUCUGGUGGGUAGUUUGACUGGGGCGGUCUCCUCCCAAAGAGUAACGGAGGAGCACGAAGGUCAGCUAAUCACGGUCGGACAUCGUGAGUUUAGUGCAAAGGCAUAAGCUGGCUUGACUGCGAGAGUGACGGCUCGAGCAGGUACGAAAGUAGGUCUUAGUGAUCCGGUGGUUCUGAAUGGAAGGGCCAUCGCUCAACGGAUAAAAGGUACUCCGGGGAUAACAGGCUGAUACCGCCCAAGAGUUCAUAUCGACGGCGGUGUUUGGCACCUCGAUGUCGGCUCAUCACAUCCUGGGGCUGAAGUAGGUCCCAAGGGUAUGGCUGUUCGCCAUUUAAAGUGGUACGCGAGCUGGGUUUAGAACGUCGUGAGACAGUUCGGUCCCUAUCUGCCGUGGGCGUAGGAAGAUUGAGAGGGAUUGCUCCUAGUACGAGAGGACCGGAGUGAACGCACCGCUGGUGUUCGGGUUGUCAUGCCAAUGGCAUUGCCCGGUAGCUAAGUGCGGAACAGAUAAGCGCUGAAAGCAUCUAAGCGCGAAACUGGCCUCGAGAUGAGUCUUCCCUGGGUCUGAGAGGUCCCUGAAGGCACGUUUAAGACGAAGACGUGGAUAGGCUGGGUGUGUAAGAGCAGCGAUGCUUUGAGCUAACCAGUACUAAUGAGCCGUGAGGCUUAACCUUACAACACCGAAGGUGU
rnacentral:rRNA from 1 species